rnacentral:rRNA from 1 species
UACGUAGGGUGCGAGCGUUAAUCGGAAUUACUGGGCGUAAAGCGUGCGCAGGCGGUUUUGUAAGCCAGAUGUGAAAUCCCCGGGCUUAACCUGGGAAUGGCAUUUGGGACUGCAAGGCUGGAGUUUGGCAGAGGAGACUGGAAUUCCCAGUGUAGAGGUGAAAUUCGUAGAUAUUGGGAAGAACACCGGUGGCGAAGGCGGCUCACUGGCUCAUUUCUGACGCUCAGGCGCGACAGCGUGGGGAUCAAACAGG